rnacentral:rRNA from 1 species
UGGGUGACCUGCCCUCAGCUCUGGGAUAAGCCUGGGAAACUGGGUCUAAUACUGGAUAUUCACUUCUCAUCGCAUGGUGGGUGGUGGAAAGCUUUUUUGUGGUUUUGGAUGGACUAGCGGCCUAUCAGCUUGUUGGUGAGGUAAUGGCUCACCAAGGCGACGACGGGUAGCCGGCCUGAGAGGGUGACCGGCCGCACUGGGACUGAGACACGGCCCAGACCUCCUACGGGA